rnacentral:rRNA from 1 species
GAUGAACGCUGGCGGCGUGCCUAAUACAUGCAAGUAGAACGCUGAAGGAGGAGCUUGCUCUUCUGGAUGAGUUGCGAACGGGUGAGUAACGCGUAGGUAACCUGCCUGGUAGCGGGGGAUAACUAUUGGAAACGAUAGCUAAUACCGCAUGACAAUAGUUAUUGCAUGAUAACUGUUUAAAAGGGGCAACUGCUCCACUACCAGAUGGACCUGCGUUGUAUUAGCUAGUUGGUGAGGUAACGGCUCACCAAGGCGACGAUACAUAGCCGACCUGAGAGGGUGAUCGGCCACACUGGGACUGAGACACGGCCCAGACUCCUACGGGAGGCAGCAGUAGGGAAUCUUCGGCAAUGGACGGAAGUCUGACCGAGCAACGCCGCGUGAGUGAAGAAGGUUUUCGGAUCGUAAAGCUCUGUUGUAAGAGAAGAACGAGUGUGAGAGUGGAAAGUUCACACUGUGACGGUAUCUUACCAGAAAGGGACGGCUAACUACGUG